rnacentral:rRNA from 1 species
GAUGAACGCUGGCGGCGUGCCUAAUACAUGCAAGUCGAGCGAACAGACGAGGAGCUUGCUCCUCUGACGUUAGCGGCGGACGGGUGAGUAACACGUGGAUAACCUACCUAUAAGACUGGGAUAACUUCGGGAAACCGGAGCUAAUACCGGAUAAUAUAUUGAACCGCAUGGUUCAAUAGUGAAAGACGGUUUUGCUGUCACUUAUAGAUGGAUCCGCGCCGCAUUAGCUAGUUGGUAAGGUAACGGCUUACCAAGGCAACGAUGCGUAGCCGACCUGAGAGGGGGAUCGGCCACACGGAAACGGAGACACGGUCCAGACUCCUACGGGAGGCAGCAGUAGGGAAUCUUCCGCAAUGGGCGAAAGCUUGACGGAGCAACGCCGGGGGAGUGAUGAAGGUCUUCGGAUCGUAAAACUCUGUUAUUGGGGAAGAACAAAUGUGUAAGUAACUAUGCACGUCUGGACGGUACCUAAUCAGAAAGCCACGGCAAACUACGU